rnacentral:rRNA from 1 species
UACCCGCAGCUCAAGUGGUGGUCAUUAUUAUUGGGCCUAAAGCGUCCGUAGCAGGCUUGUUAGAUGGCCUGGGUAAAUCGAUGCGCUCAACGCAUCGAACUCCGGGUAGACCGGCAAGCUUGGGACCGGGAGAGGCGUGAGCUACUCGAGGGGUAGGGGUAAAAUCCUGUAAUCCUUCGGGGAGGACCAGUGGCGAAGGCGUCACGCUAGAACGGCUCCGACAGUGAGGGACGAAGCCCUGGGGCGCAAACCGG